UGAAACUUCUACGUCGAAGGGAGGAGUCAGGAUCUGAGCUCAAGCCUGACAUUGGAAAACAUCUCCCAUAAACGGCAAUGAUCUCAGGUCACCAGGCUGCUCAUCAUGGCGCACACCUGUCACCAUCGUUACGUGCACCUGCACGUCAUUAGACUCACCUGGACUCCAUCACUUCGCUGAUUACCUUUACUGUAUAUGAUAUUCCCUUUGAUUCCUUCCUGAGGCGUCAUUGUUUCUGUUUCAUGUCUGUGCGUUGUUCAUGUUUUUUAUUGUUUUGAUUUAUUUAUUAAAUUAUUCACUCCCUGAACUUGA